UGAGGAAUAUUGGUCAAUGGGCGAGAGCCUGAGCCAGCCAAGUCGCGUGAGGGAAGACGGUCCUACGGAUUGUAAACCUCUUUUGUCGGGGAGCAAUAAAGCGUACGCGUACGCAGAUGCGAGUACCCGAAGAAAAGCAUCGGCUAACUCCGUGCCAGCAGCCGCGGUAAUACGGAGGAUGCGAGCGUUAUCCGGAUUUAUUGGGUUUAAAGGGUGCGCAGGCGGAAAGUGCAAGUCAGCGGUCAAACGACGGGGCUCAACCCCGUCUCGCCGUUGAAACUGUCUUUCUAGAGUGAGCGAGAAGUAUGCGGAAUGCGUGGUGUAGCGGUGAAAUGCAUAGAUAUCACGCAGAACUCCGAUUGCGAAGGCAGCAUACCGGCGCUCAACUGACGCUCAUGCACGAAAGCGUGGGUAUCGAACAGGAUUAGAUACC
rnacentral:rRNA from 1 species